AAGUCUCUUGGAGGAGACAUGAAACGUUUCACUAUAGAAGAACCAUCCAGAGGAACUACUGAUUUUUAUUUUAGAAGACAGAAACCAGGUCAGAGUCUCAUCAGUCCUGAGGUUUCUGGUCUCUAAGUCCUAUAGUUUCUGGUCUCUGAGUCCUAUAGCUUCUGGUCUCUGAGUCCUAUAGUUUCUGGUCUCUGAGUCCUAUAGUUUCUGGUCUCUAAGUCCUAUAGCUUCUGGUCUGUAAGUCCUAUAGUUACUGGUCUGUAAGUCCUAUAGUUUCUGGUCUCUGAGUCCUAUAGUUUCUGGUCUCUAGGUCCUAUAGUUUCUGGUCUGUAAGUUCUAUAGUUUCUGGUCUGUAAUUCAUAAAGUUCCUUGUCUGUAAGUCCUAUGGUUUCUGGUCUGUAAGUCCUAUGGUUUCUGGUCUCUAGGUCCUAUAGUUUCUGGUCUCUAGGUCCUAUAGUUUCUGGUCUCUGAGUCCUAUAGUUUCUGGUCUGUAAGUCCUAUAGUUUCUGGUCUCUAGGUCCUAUAGUUUCUGGUCUGUAAUUCAUAAAGUUCCUGGUCUCUAGGUCCUAUAGUUUCUGGUCUCUAGGUCCUAUAGUUUCUGGUCUCUAGGUCCUAUAGUUUCUGGUCUCUAGGUCCUAUAGUUUCUGGUCUCUAGGUCCUAUAGUUUCUGGUCUGUAAUUCAUAAAGUUCCUGGUCUGUAAGUCCUAUAGUUCCUGGUUUUUGAGUCCUGAGGUUUCUGGUCUCAGGUCCAGCAGGGUCUUCAUGCUGUUAUCU